rnacentral:rRNA from 1 species
CCUACGGGGGGCAGCAGUGAGGAAUAUUGGUCAAUGGUCGGGAGACUGAACCAGCCAAGCCGCGUGAGGGAUGAAGGUACAGAGUAUCGUAAACCUCUUUUGUCAGGGAACAAAGGCGGGGACGUGUCCCCGGAUGAGUGUACCUGAAGAAAAAGCAUCGGCUAACUCCGUGCCAGCAGCCGCGGUAAUACGGAGGAUGCGAGCGUUAUCCGGAUUUAUUGGGUUUAAAGGGUGCGUAGGCGGGCUUUUAAGUCAGCGGUAAAAAUUCGGGGCUCAACCCCGUCCGGCCGUUGAAACUGGGGGCC